UGGCUGAGUGGUAAAGCACUAGGCUUCUGAGCUUGGGGUCCAGGGUUCUAAUCCUGG
rnacentral:tRNA from 1 species